rnacentral:lncRNA from 1 species
ACACACCCUCGGAUUGACGUGCGCACGCGCACCGGUUACCUUCAGGAGCGCCGAAGAAGGAAAGAAGAACACAGAGCCCGAGGCAAAGCUUAAGUGCUUACGCUUUUGUCGGGAGGUACAGACCCAGCUCUGCGAGAGCCAGGGGAAAAGGAAGAGAGGCAGGGAAGGAAUGGCAGCAAGUACAAGGUGAUGAAUGACUGCACUGGCCAUUGCUUCAUGAAGAGCCACGAAAAAACAGAGCCGGUUUCUCAGCAGGUGGCUGGCUGCUCAGUCACAAAGGACCUCUUUGGACAGGCUUUAUGGAAAUACUGUGCCUAGGACAGUCGCUCAAAGGCAGGAGGGAGAGAAAAUGCAUCUGCAAGCUCACUUUGUCUUCUUUCUUCUGCUGGUCAAAAUUUGCUGGCUGGGGCAGUUAACGCCCUCACACAUCCGAGUUGUGUCACCUGGCCCCUUUGGUAGCCACUGGGGAAGCCAGAUCUAGGCAUGUGGCCUGAUGGCUCCUGCGGUGGAACCACAUGCUCACACUCAGUCAGUCACCACUGGGAUGCCCUGGGCAGGGCAGGCUGAGUGGCUGGGAGAUAGCUGAGCCUAAGAUAUCUAAGCAAGCACCUGUGAUGUAUGCACUGCAGUGUCCAAAUGUGAAAAAGCAAGAAAGGGAGAUAGAAGCAUAUUUUUUUCUGGAGAGAAGGAGGAAACCACCAGGAGAAUACAAACAGAAAAAAGACUGCCAGCUCCGUGACAGCAAGAACCUUGUAUGACUUUUUCAUGAUGGAUGUUCAUCUGUGCCAUCUGUAAAUAUUGAAUAAAUAUUUGUGGAAUACAUGAAUCUAAAAGUGAAUGGAAUGAUAAAGAGGGAAAGGGUCAUGACAUCUACUACAGCAUUUGGCACAGACCCAGGUUUCCCUGGUACUGGUAAUUCCCAGCAGCUUUCUACAAUUCCAAAGCUGUCUGCAGUACUAUCAAGAGAUGACAUGGACUUCAAGGAUCAAACAGGGGAGAAAAAGGCUUAAAAGAAAAACAAGUCUCCAUCAAAGGUAAUAACCACAAUGAGAACUAUACAUAGCUAUGUGCUUAUAGGUCUUAGUUCACAUUCCCCUCAUUAAAAUUAUAGCUCAAGAAAUAAAGGGCUGUUUAAUGACUUGGGUAUAUAAAUAUACUUCAUUUGUAUAUUUUUUACUUGCUAAAAUCUAUCCAAAUUGGUAUUACCUCAAACCAUAAUCUUCUACUGUAUUUUAUAAUUUUACUUUAUUGCCAUGUAUUUUUCCCACUGAUGUUCACAAAUUCACAGGAAACAUCAGCCAUGUACUAAAUAAAAUAUGAAUUGAAUCGACAAAUAGAACUAUAAA